UGUUUUCUGGGGUCCUGUGGCUGGGAGUGGCCGUCUGGCUCCUGAAAUUCGGUGAUUUUCAGGAUGGUUCCCAGACCCAAGCUGGCACCAGUGGAAACUGGGGCUAGUUUUACAGUGCUAAGGGACUCCUGCAAUCUGCCAUAAAGGAGCAGGGAUGGAUGGUUCCCAGACCCAAGCUGGCACCAGUGGCAACUCGGGUGCUUUCAGAGUGCCAAGGGACUCCUGCAAUCUGUCAUAAUGUACCAUGGAUGGAUGGUUCCCAGACCCAAGCUGGCACCAGUGGCCACU